rnacentral:misc_RNA from 1 species
GUAGGUGAACCUGCGGAAGGAUCAUUACCAAAUCCAAUACCCCAACCCCUGUGAACUUGUAAUGUCUUGUCUUUGGGGAGGGAGACUCUGUUUUCCUCCCCAUUUUAAUUGAACCACUUCUGAUUUUGUUGGAAUACUUUUAUUAAUAAUUAAUAAAUGACAACUUUUAACGGUGGAUCUCUUGGCUCGU